CGGGCUGAGCUCCGGAGGGUCUGCCCGGGAGAGGAGCGCGCCCGCCGGCCUGAGGGAGAGCAGAGAGUCGAUGCGGAACCUGGAGCAGCCGGAGGCAGAAUCCUCCAUCUCCGUCCUGACUCAGUUCAGUCCAGACUGUACAUCCCCAGACCCUGAACUCCUCUCCUGGACACAGAGUCUGACUGAUGAGCCCUGACCGCCCGGAGACGAGCGUCCUGGUCCCUGAAGGUGUCCAGAGCCGGAGCAGCCUGAUGAGGAUUCAAUUUAUUUUGGAUGAUGACCAUUGACUCGCACCAAAAGCUCUCACCCUCUGCAGCUGUUUGUGGUCGCUGGUUUGAUUCCUGCUCAGCUGUUCGUCCAUCCAGCGGCGAGCAUACUCAUGAGAGAGGAGGUCUGACAAAGGAGACGACACCCUG